rnacentral:rRNA from 1 species
AUACGGAGGGGGUUAGCGUUGUUCGGAAUUACUGGGCGUAAAGCGUACGUAGGCGGAUCGGAAAGUAAGGGGUGAAAUCCCAGGGCUCAACCCUGGAACUGCCUCUUAAACUCCCGGUCUUGAGUUCGAGAGAGGUGAGUGGAAUUCCUAGUGUAGAGGUGAAAUUCGUAGAUAUUAGGAGGAACGCCAGUGGCGAAGGCGGCUCACUGGCUCGAUACUGACGCUGAGGUACGAAAGUGUGGGGAGCAAACAGGAUUAGAAACCCUAGUAGUCC